UACGGGGGGGGCAAGCGUUGUUCGGAAUUACUGGGCGUAAAGGGCGCGUAGGCGGUCCGCUAAGUUGGAUGUGAAAACUCUGGGCUUAACCCAGAGCCUGCAUUCAAAACUGACGGGCUAGAGUUCUGGAGGGGGUAGCGGAAUUCCUGGUGUAGCGGUGAAAUGCGUAGAUAUUCGGAAGAACACCAGUGGCGAAGGCGACACACUGGCCCGUUACUAACGCUGAGGCGCGAAAGCGUGGGGAGCAAACAGG
rnacentral:rRNA from 1 species